AACGAACGCUGGCGGCAUGCCUAACACAUGCAAGUCGAACGAACCCUUCGGGGCUAGUGGCGGACGGGUGAGUAACGCGUGGGAACCUGCCCUUAGGUUCGGAAUAACUCAGCGAAAGGGGUGCUAAUACCGAAUGUGCUCUUCGGGGGAAAGAUUUAUCGCCUUUGGAUCGGCCCGCGUUGGAUUAGCUAGUUGGUUGGGGUAAAGGCUCACCAAGGCGACGAUCAGUAGCUGGUCUGAGAGGAUGAUCAGCCACAUUGGGACUGAGACACGGCCCAGACUCCUACGGGAGGCAGCAGUGGGGAAUCUUGCGCAAUGGGCGAAAGCCUGACGCAGCCAUGCCGCGUGAAUGAUGAAGGUCUUAGGGUUGUAAAGUUCUUUUACCGGGGACGAUAAUGACAGUACCCGGAGAAGAAGCCCCGGCUAACUCCGUG
rnacentral:rRNA from 1 species